rnacentral:tRNA from 1 species
UUGCCCUGUGGUGUAGCGGUAGCAUCUCUCACUUUGAAUGAGAAGAGUCAGGUUCAAAUCCUGGCAGGGCAAUC